GGGGGUGACGGGUUUCGACUUAGAUGAGCUCUCUUAGAGGGCAGGCCGAGUUUUCUGCGGUUUACUCGUUAAAAAAAUCGCAGAAAAAAUAAAGGCAGCUCCUAUUUUUUCAGGAGUUACUCCUGCUUACAUUUUAAACUAAGCAGGGCUCUUAAUCUUCCCUGCCUGAGGAAAGUUAAGGGUUCAAUAUUCAGGCUGGUUCAGCCCGAGUUAGGCUUUGCAGGGCUGAAGACUUAAAAAAGCCUGCGUUGAUGCAACCCUGUCUGGGGGGUAGGUAUCAACUAAGAAUUAAACCCAGACUAAGCUUGUAGGACUCUAAGAGAACUUAUUUAAGGACCGGGGUUCGAAUCCCCGCACCUCCACCA
rnacentral:tmRNA from 1 species